AGAAAAAGGUUUUUUGUUCAAUUACAUAGAAUUUUUUUUUCCCAGUCUACUAUCUAUAGGACAAGAACUUUUUAUCAGCUAUUGCCUGUUGUGGCAUCAAGUCAAUUUGCACUACUUAGUAUCAUGUUUGGUUUAUCUCUCUCCAUUGUCUCCCUCAUUUUGGAAGAUGAAGUCUCAAGCACCUUGAAUGAAUCAUGCGGUUAUGGCG
rnacentral:misc_RNA from 1 species